GGGCCCUUAGCUCAGUCUGGUUAGAGCGCUCGGCUCAUAACCGGGUGGUCAUUGGUUCGAAUCCGAUAGGGCCCA
rnacentral:tRNA from 7 species